GCUGGCGGCGUGCUUAACACAUGCAAGUCGAACGAUGAUCCCAGCUUGCUGGGGGAUUAGUGGCGAACGGGUGAGUAACACGUGAGUAACCUGCCCUUGACUCUGGGAUAAGCCUGGGAAACCGGGUCUAAUACUGGAUAUGACCUUCUGGCGCAUGCCAUGUUGGUGGAAAGCUUUAUUGCGGUUUUGGAUGGACUCGCGGCCUAUCAGCUUGUUGGUGGGGUAAUGGCCUACCAAGGCGACGACGGGUAGCCGGCCUGAGAGGGUGGACGGCCACACUGGGACUGAGACACGGCCCAGACUCCUACGGGAGGCAGCAGUGGGGAAUAUUGCACAAUGGGCGCAAGCCUGAUGCAGCGACGCCGCGUGGGGGAUGAAGGCCUUCGGGUUGUAAACCUCUUUCAGUAGGGAAGAAGCGAAAGUGACGGUACCUGCAGAAGAAGCGCCGGCUAACUACGUGCCAGCAGCCGCGGUAAUACGUAGGGCGCAAGCGUUAUCCGGAAUUAUUGGGCGUAAAGAGCUCGUAGGCGGUUUGUCGCGUCUGCCGUGAAAGUCCGGGGCUUAACUCCGGAUCUGCGGUGGGUACGGGCAGACUAGAGUGAUGUAGGGGAGACUGGAAUUCCUGGUGUA
rnacentral:rRNA from 1 species